rnacentral:rRNA from 1 species
ACGAACGCUGGCGGCGCGCCUAACACAUGCAAGUCGAACGAGAGAGAGGAAGCUUGCUUCCUCAAUCGAGUGGCGAACGGGUGAGUAACGCGUGAGGAACCUGCCUCAAAGAGGGGGACAACGGUUGGAAACGACUGCUAAUACCGCAUAAGCCCACGACCCGGCAUCGGGUUGAGGGAAAAGGAGCAAUCCGCUUUGAGAUGGCCUCGCGUCCGAUUAGCUAGUUGGUGAGGUAACGGCCCACCAAGGCGACGAUCGGUAGCCGGACUGAGAGGUUGAACGGCCACAUUGGGACUGAGACACGGCCCAGACUCCUACGGGAGGCAGCAGUGGGGAAUAUUGCACAAUGGGGGAAACCCUGAUGCAGCGACGCCGCGUGGAGGAAGAAGGUCUUCGGAUUGUAAACUCCUGUUGUUGAGGAAGAUAAUGACGGUACUCAACAAGGAAGUGACGGCUAACUACGUGCCAGCAGCCGCGGUAAAACGUAGGUCACAAGCGUUGUCCGGAAUUACUGGGUGUAAAGGGAGCGCAGGCGGGAAGACAAGUUGGAAGUGAAAUCUAUGGGCUCAACCCAUAAACUGCUUUCAAAACUGUUUUUCUUGAGUAGUGCAGAGGUAGGCGGAAUUCCCGGUGUAGCGGUGGAAUGCGUAGAUAUCGGGAGGAACACCAGUGGCGAAGGCGGCCUACUGGGCACCAACUGACGCUGAGGCUCGAAAGUGUGGGUAGCAAACAGGAUUAGAUACCCUGGUAGUCCACACCGUAAACGAUGAUUACUAGGUGUUGGAGGAUUGACCCCUUCAGUGCCGCAGUUAACACAAUAAGUAAUCCACCUGGGGAGUACGACCGCAAGGUUGAAACUCAAAGGAAUUGACGGGGGCCCGCACAAGCAGUGGAGUAUGUGGUUUAAUUCGACGCAACGCGAAGAACCUUACCAAGUCUUGACAUCCUGCGACGAUGCUGGAAACAGUAUUUUCCUUCGGGACGCAGAGACAGGUGGUGCAUGGUUGUCGUCAGCUCGUGUCGUGAGAUGUUGGGUUAAGUCCCGCAACGAGCGCAACCCUUACUGUCAGUUACUACGCAAGAGGACUCUGGCAGGACUGCCGUUGACAAAACGGAGGAAGGUGGGGAUGACGUCAAAUCAUCAUGCCCUUUAUGACUUGGGCUACACACGUACUACAAUGGCUAUAACAAAGAGAAGCGAGACAGUGAUGUGGAGCAAAACUCAAAAAAAUAGUCUCAGUUCGGAUUGAAGGCUGAAAUUCGCCUUCAUGAAGCUGGAAUUGCUAGUAAUGGCAGGUCAGCAUACUGCCGUGAAUACGUUCCCGGGCCUUGUACACACCGCCCGUCACACCAUGAGAGUUGGGGAUACCCGAAGCCUGUGAGCCAACAGUUAAAUGAGGCAGCAGUCGAAGGUAGAAUCAAUGAUUGGGGUG